rnacentral:misc_RNA from 1 species
UGGACUACUGCACAUAAAACCUUGUCUCGUGACAGGUGGUUCAAGGUUUGAAGCGUGUAUAUGACUUUAUUAUAAAUUUAUGUGACAUCUAAGUUGUCUUUUCAGUAUUUAGGUGGAACAGUUAUCUAAUUUUUCAGAAGCUAACCUCGGAGGUGUUUUUAGUUCAAAAUGACAGAAAAAGACUUUGCUCCAUUGAGUGCUGCAUGUGUCAGAGCAUUGAACGACAAGCUUUAUGAAAAGAGGAAAGCUGCUGCUAUAGAAAUAGAGAAGAUGGUAAAAGAUUUUGCUUCUGUCAAUAACGUAAGCCAGAUAAAACGGCUGCUGUGGGUACUUGGCCAAGAUUUUGCUCUUUCAUCUAAUGCUAACAGCAAGAAAGGAGGAUUGAUUGGACUUGCUGCAAUAGCAAUAGCUCUUGGAAAAGAAACAUCACAAUAUAUUGAUGAACUUGUCCAACCCGUAAUGUUCUGCCUUAAUGACAUGGACAGUAGGGUUCGGUACUAUGCAGCAGAAGCUCUUUACAAUGUUGUCAAAGUUGCUCGAGGCUCUGUUUUACCAUUCUUUAAUGACAUCUUUGAUGCUCUAAGCAAGCUAGCAGCAGACCCUGACCAGAAUGUAAAAAAUGGUUCAGAACUCUUGGAUCGUCUUAUGAAGGAUGUGGUGACAGAAAGCUCGUCUUUUGACUUGGUUAAGUUCAUCCCAUUGCUGAGAGAGAGGAUGUACACUAAAAACCCUUUUGCCAGGCAGUUCAUUGUAUCAUGGGUUUCUACUUUGAAUGACGUUCCUGACAUUGAUAUGGUGAUAUUUCUCCCAGAGAUCUUGGAUGGCCUCUUUGAAAUAUUAGAUGAUAACACAACAGAGAUCAGGAAAAUGUGUGAAACUGUGCUUGGAAGUUUCCUUAGAAAUAUCAAUAAAAAUCCACAGACAGUAGACUUUACAGCAAUGGUAUCAAUUUUAGCCAAGCACUCGGGGUCUACUGCAAACUUAGUCCAGUUUACUGCAUUGAUGUGGCUGAAAGAUUUCAUCAAUCUUGCGAGACGAAAACUUCUUCCAUUUGUUUCCAGCAUUCUUCAGGCUGUUCUACCAAACUUAGGACAUGAUGAUGACAGCAAGAAAAAUAUUAGAGAGAUGGCUAAAGUAGUAAACAACAGCCUGACAACUUUGAUCAUUGAAGAAGAUGACCAUGACCUGUCCACUGAGUCAAAGGAAAAGUCUGGUGGUGGUGAAUUGCAAGGCAACUCUACAAAUGAAGAAAAAUUGUCUGAUCCUAGUGGAUUAGAUUCAAAAUCUUUAGUUAUGGUUUUAACAAAUAAAAUUGAACAUGAAUCCAUGCAAACCAGGAUAUCUGUCCUUCGCUGGAUUCUUCAUUUGCUUCAGAAAAUACCAAACAAAAUGUUCAAACAUAUCGAAGUACUCUUUCCAGUUUUGAUGAAAACUCUGUCUGAUCCAUCUGAUGAGGUUGUUCUUCUGGAUCUUGAAGUUUUAUCAGAAAUAUCUUCUUCGUCUGCUGGUCUGAAGCAGCAAAACCAACUUCAAAAUGUGAAUGUUCCAACCCCUGUUAGGGAAAUGGCACCAAGCUUUCCAAGUAUGACAUGUUACUUCACCAAGUUUAUGGUUGCUUUGAUGGAGCUGUUCAGUAGGAAUCGAGGUUUGCUUAAAGAUAGGGGUUCUUUUAUAAUCAGACAGUUAUGCCUAGUGCUGAAUACAGAAGAUAUCUACAGGACAAUAGCAGAAAUACUUCUUGUUCAUGAAGAUUUAGAGUUUGCUUGCCAUCUGGUGGAGACACUUAAUACUAUACUUCUUACUUCUACUGAAUUGUUUGAACUACGAAAUCAACUUAACAAUCUGAAGACUGAGGAAAGUUGUUCAUUGUUUUGUUGUCUAUAUCGCUCCUGGUGUCAUAGUCCAGUAGCUACUGUUUCACUGUGUCUCCUGUCACAGAAUUACAAGCAUGCCUGUGACUUGAUACAUCUGUUUGGGAAUCUGGAAGUAACUGUUUACUUCCUAACUGAAGUUGAUAAACUUAUACAGCUUAUUGAAUCUCCAAUAUUUACAUCUAUUUUGAAAGUUGACUUUCAUCAGUAGUUCAGUCACCUGUUGUGAAGUCAUAAAAGCAUGGGAACUGAAAGACUACUAAUAACAUUCAGAGAAAGAGAAGGAAAAUUAUACGAGAAACAGAACCUUGAGAUAUUUUUCAAAUCUUAGAUUACAACUUCUUGAACCGCAACAGAAUCCUUACCUAGUUAAAAGUCUCUAUGGUCUACUGAUGCUUCUACCACAA